GCACUUCCGGGUGCCUCCGCAGGCGCCGCCCUUCGAGCCUCUGGCGCUGGCGAGCUGGGCUGCCCGGCCUCUGCGGUCGCCGAGCGGAUGGAGCCCGCCCUUGGCCCCCUGCCGCCGCCCCUCAGCCCGCUCCCGGCGCAGAGCCCUUAACUCUCGCGGUCCCCACCGCCAGGAGCGAGCUUCCUGCGUCUCUCCCGCUGCCUGCCGCCGCCUUGGCUGACGUGUCGCCCUCGGCUCUCUCCCCCGUCAUCGUUUCGUCUGCGGCCUGUCAGGGUGAGCGUAGUGACGUCAGAGGCCCCGGCUCUGCUCACGGCUGUGCCCUGAAGGCAUCCUGACGUCCGUCUUCCCGUGAGGGACCCCAGGCCCAGAAAGCUGGACAGGAGCUGACCAUGCGCCUCUCAGCACCAGCUUGGGGAGCCCGGCGCCUCGCUUUGCCGUUUGCAGUGAGCACCCACUGUCCUGCCUCCCCGACGUCAGGGACCGGCGUUGGGCCCUGGUCUGGUCCCGGUGGGCGGUCGUCAGUCUGUAGGAGCUGUUCGGUGUGUUUAAACCCGCGCGCCUGGGGAGGUGUGGGCCAGGGAAGGGCGCAGGCACACUAAGCAAGAAGGGACUGAGCGCAGGGCUGGGCUGGCUCGCAGUAGGUGUGAGGGAGGGGCCCUGCCUGCUGAGAUGCGCCCCUCACCCCAGGACAGACCACGGUCUGCGGCUCAGAGGCUUUCAGGAAGACCUUCUCACCUGGACCGGGCUAGGGGCAACCGGGAAAUUGUGCGGGUGUGGGCGAGCCUGUCUGAUGCGGAGACCCGGGUCACGGGGCGGGAAGGAUGUGGCAGGCUAGGCGCCAAGCCCUGGAGCGUCCAGGAGCCUUAGCUCAACAGCAGGGUGGGGCAGUGACCUCGGCUCCCCUCCACCAGGGGGCGGUGGGGCUCACACCAGGGUCGUCGUAGCCACGCCCCCUUCCUGGACUGCCCUGGGUGGUUUGGCCGGUUGAUGGGACUCUGCUCCAGAAACCUUGGUCCUAACUCAGAUCAGUGCAUCCUGUUUUCCUUCUCCUCCUCCUCAACUUUACAUUUUUCCAGUGUUUCUAUAUUCAUAAAGGUCGAAAGAAUAAUGCAAUGCUUACCUGUAUGCCUUUUGCUCAGAUUCAGCAGCUAACAUCCUAGCACAUCUUGUUUGUACAAAACUCUGCCACCUCUUCUCUUUUCAUUUCAACCAACACAGUGUUUAUUUGUCGAGUGCCUCUGUGUGCUAAGCACUGGGGUACGUCAGUGAACAAAAACAACACUGCUAACACAUCUGUGUCCUCCCAUACCUUGAGUGUGAACGGGGACAGCAAGCAAUACACAGAAUAAAUGCGGGAAUUCCAGAGGGCGUCCAGAGUUGGUGAGGGCACAUUGGCUCACUUGGGUGGCAUGUGGCAGCCACAGUCUGCACCUGCCCCAUCGCCCUUUGGCUCUAGCUUUUUCCCUAAGGGUUUUCAGCCCCAGCAGUUCCACAUUUUCUCCACUUUACACCCCUUUUCUUUCCCAAAUACCUUCCCUGUUCCAGCAUUAAGGUAAAAACAGCAGCCUUACAGGAAUUAUUAACUAUAUCCUGCAAUUUGUGUGGUCCAGUGUGAUUUCUGUCUUUUCUCAGCUUCUCUGAUUGGAUCCUAAUGCAGUGUGCUUGUAAACCACACACACAUUCCUACAUUGUAAAGUGAAUGGAGAAUUAAAAAUUUGGUUCCUUUUCCUAUUACACCUACAUUUACUUC